rnacentral:misc_RNA from 1 species
UACGGAGGGUGCGAGCGUUAAUCGGAAUUACUGGGCGUAAAGCGCGCGCAGGUGGCUUGGCACGCCGGUUGUGAAAGCCCCGGGCUCAACCUGGGAACGGCAUCCGGAACGGCCAGGCUAGAGUGCAGGAGAGGAAGGUAGAAUUCCCGGUGUAGCGGUGAAAUGCGUAGAGAUCGGGAGGAAUACCAGUGGCGAAGGCGGCCUUCUGGCCUGACACUGACACUGAGGUGCGAAAGCGUGGGUAGCAAACAGG